CCUACGUGUGGCAGCAGUGGGGAAUAUUGGGCAAUGGUCGCAAGCCUGACCCAGCAACGCCGCGUGAGGGAAGAAGGCAUUCGGGUUGUUAACCUCUUUUAAGGGGGAAGCGCAGACGACGGUACCCCUUGAAUAAGCCACGGCUAACUACGUGCCAUCAGCCGCGGUAAUACGUAGGUGGCAAGCGUUGUCCGGAUUUCCUGGGUUUAAAGGGCGUGCAGCGUGAGAGGCAAGUCAGAUGGGAAAUCCACGGGCUCAACCCGUGAACUGCAUUUGAAACUGGUUCCCUUGAGUGUCUGAGAGGUAAGCGGAAUGCCUGGUGUAGCGGUGAAAUGCGUAGAUAUAAGGAAGAACACCGGUGGCGAAGGCGGAUUACUGGACGAUAACUGACGGUGAGGCGCGAAAGCGUGGGGAGCAAACAGGAUUAGAUACCCUUGUAGUC
rnacentral:rRNA from 1 species